GAUGAACGCUGGCGGCGUGCCUAAUACAUGCAAGUCGAGCGAACAGACGAGGAGCUUGCUCCUCUGACGUUAGCGGCGGACGGGUGAGUAACACGUGGAUAACCUACCUAUAAGACUGGGAUAACUUCGGGAAACCGGAGCUAAUACCGGAUAAUAUAUUGAACCGCAUAGUUCAAUAGUGAAAGACGGUUUUGCUGUCACUUAUAGAUGGAUCCGCGCCGCAUUAGCUAGUUGGUAAGGUAACGGCUUACCAAGGCAACGAUGCGUAGCCGACCUGAGAGGGUGAUCGGCCACACUGGAACUGAGACACGGUCCAGACUCCUACGGGAGGCAGCAGCAGGGAAUCUUCCGCAAUGGGCGAAAGCUUGACGGAGCAACGCCGCGUGAGUGAUGAAGGUCUUCGGAUCGUAAAACUCUGUUAUUAGGGAAGAACAAAUGUGUAAGUAACUAUGCACGUCUUGACGGUACCUAAUCAGAAAGCCACGGCUAACUACGUG
rnacentral:rRNA from 1 species